rnacentral:rRNA from 1 species
UUAAAAAGCUCGUAGUCGAAUUUUUAAGGGAAUCAAUUUUAUGUGGUCUUAAUGAACUGCAAAGGAAGAUGAUUUAUCUUAUUUUAUGCUUUUGCACCAUUGGAAUUCGUUUUCUGAUAGUGGAGUAAGUUUGUGUUUACUUUGAGAAAAUUAGAGUGUUCAAAGCAGUCUUACGGCUUUAUAUUAAAGCAUGGAAUGAUAAAUAAUGACAUCGGUAAAUUUUUGUUGGUUUGAGAGACUGAUGUAAUGAUUUAUAGAGUUAGUCGGAGGUAUUAGUAUUUUAUCGUUAGAAGUGAAAUUCUGGGAUCGACAAAAGACUAACAACUGCGAAAGCAUUUACCUAGAAUUUGCUCCUUGAUCAAGAACGUAAGUUGGGGGAUCGAAGACGAUCAGAUACCGUCGUAGUCUCAACUUUAAACUAUAUCAGCUAGGGGUUGGCAAAUGU